rnacentral:rRNA from 1 species
UACGGAGGGAGCUAGCGUUGUUCGGAAUUACUGGGCGUAAAGCGCACGUAGGCGGCUUUGUAAGUUAGAGGUGAAAGCCCGGGGCUCAACCCCGGAAUUGCCUUUAAGACUGCAUCGCUUGAAUCCGGGAGAGGUGAGUGGAAUUCCGAGUGUAGAGGUGAAAUUCGUAGAUAUUCGGAAGAACACCAGUGGCGAAGGCGGCUCACUGGACCGGUAAUUGACGCUGAGGUGCGAAAGCGUGGGGAGCAAACAGG